rnacentral:rRNA from 1 species
CCUACGGGAGGCUGCAGUAGGGAAUAUUGGUCAAUGGAGGCAACUCUGAACCAGCCAUGCCGCGUGCAGGAAGAAGGUCCUCUGGAUUGUAAACUGCUUUUAUAAGGGACGAAAACGGGCAUGCGUGCCAAAUUGACGGUACUUUAUGAAUAAGCCACGGCUAACUACGUGCCAGCAGCCGCGGUAAUACGUAGGUGGCGAGCGUUAUCCGGAUUUAUUGGGUUUAAAGGGAGCGUAGGCGGCUUAAUAAGUCAGUGGUGAAAGGUAGCAGCUUA